UACAGAGGGUGCAGGCGUUAAUCGGAAUUACUGGGCGUAAAGCGAGUGUAGUCGGUUAUUUAAGUCGGAUGUGAAAUCCCCGGGCUCAACCUGGGAAUUGCAUUCGAUACUGGAUAGCUAGAGUUCGGCAGAGGGAAGCGGAAUUUCGGGUGUAGCGGUGAAAUGCGUAGAUAUCCGAAGGAACAUCAGUGGCGAAAGCGGCUUCCUGGACCAGAACUGACGAUCAGGCUCGAAAGCGUGGGGAGCAAACAGG
rnacentral:rRNA from 1 species